rnacentral:lncRNA from 1 species
GUCCAGAGUGCUACGGGAGGCCUUUGGGCUCUAUUGUGCAUGCUCAGUGAGCCACUGAAGGUUUGGAGGUAGGAGAGGAUACAGAGAAGUACUUGAGAUAUACUGCCAGAAAGAAGCAUGGAGCAUGCCCAUGAAGGAUCUCUAGGUAGAGUGGCCGACCUGAUGAUGAAGGCUUCAUCCCGCCAUAGAAGCCAGAUCCUUCCCCUAGAGCACAGAAGGCUACAAAGACAGAGAUCCUUGGGCCUUAGCCCAGAGGCCCUGGAGGCAGUUUCCGGAGAGGUUGGGCUUAAAGGAAAACCAAACAUGGAGAGCUUUGAAUAUCUGCGUUUGGGAUGCAAGAGGUGCUUGAUAGAUGCUUCUUGAAUGGAUCAGAAUUUUCAUUUGCCUCCACCCCCAGCAGGACAUCCGCUAGUGGAAGGCCUGAAAGGUGGAGCAUCUUGUCUUCUGACAUGGCAGCACGCAAGUGACAAACGUGUUGUUGUCAUCAUAGACAAUCACGUAGUACAUUCAGCUGAGUGACCCUGGGCAAGUCAACAUCUUCGUUUCCGUACCAGGAAAAUGGUGGUGGGGGGGGACCAGAAGGCCUUUCAGGUCCCUUGUAAGCUCUUUUCAGUCCUUUUCCUCAUCUCCCAUCGCUCUCCUCUCCUCCUUCACCCCAUCUCCCAGGGCGAGGUGGCUUUACUCCUUACCAAGGCCAACCCCCUACCUCUUCAAGUGAUCCCUUUCCUUCCCUUCUCUUCCAAAAAACCCUCAUGAUCUCUCCAUUCAGGUUAAGUAUCAUCCCAUGUCUUUUCUGCCCUUUGUGGCUAAAUUCCUCAAGGCUUAGAGGUAAGAGAAUAUUAGCAACAAAGAGCAGAGCAGAGCAGAGCUUGGGAAUGCUGAGGAAUGUGAGGCCAGGCUGAGGGGCUUUUAGCACCAGGCUGAGAGUCUGUGUCUUAUCUUAGAGAUAAGAGGGAACCUCUGAAGCUGCUGGAGAACAAGGGGGAGGGGGUCAGCUCCAGGCUUGCAAAAUGGACAUUUGACAGCUGUGUGGAAGGAAGACUAGAGAGCAUAGAAUCCACAGGCAGGGAGUCCAGUUUAGAGGGGAACCUGGUAGACUAAGUGAGGAGUGAUGAGGGAAAGGAAGAAAGAAAGGAAGGCAGGAAGGAAGAGAGGGAGGGAGGAAGGAAAGAAGGAAAAGUAAGAAGGAAGGAAAGGAGGGAGGAAGGGAAGAAUAAAAAGAAGAAAGGAACAGAAAGAAGGAAGGAA